rnacentral:rRNA from 1 species
AGCGAGAGAGAGCUUGCUUUCUCGAGCGAGUGGCGAACGGGUGAGUGACGCGUGAGGAACCUGCCUCAAAGAGGGGGACAACAGUUGGAAACGACUGCUAAUACCGCAUAAGCCCACGGCUCGGCAUCGAGCAGAGGGAAAAGGAGUGAUCCGCUUUGAGAUGGCCUCGCGUCCGAUUAGCUAGUUGGUGAGGUAACGGCCCACCAAGGCGACGAUCGGUAGCCGGACUGAGAGGUUGAACGGCCACAUUGGGACUGAGACACGGCCCAGACUCCUACGGGUGGCAGCAGUGGGGAAUAUUGCACAAUGGGGGAAACCCUGAUGCAGCGACGCCGCGUGGAGGAAGAAGGUCUUCGGAUUGUAAACUCCUGUUGUUGAGGAAGAUAAUGACGGUACUCAACAAGGAAGUGACGGCUAACUACGUGCCAGCAGCCGCGGUAAAACGUAGGUCACAAGCGUUGUCCGGAAUUACUGGGUGUAAAGGGAGCGCAGGCGGGAGAACAAGUUGGGAGUGAAAUCCAUGGGCUCAACCCAUGAACUGCUUUCAAAACUGUUUUUCUUGAGUAGUGCAGAGGUAGGCGGAAUUCCCGGUGUAGCGGUGGAAUGCGUAGAUAUCGGGAGGAACACCAGUGGCGAAGGCGGCCUACUGGGCACCAACUGACGCUGAGGCUCGAAAGUGUGGGUAGCAAACAGGAUUAGAUACCCUGGUAGUCCACACCGUAAACGAUGAUUACUAGGUGUUGGAGGAUUGACCCCUUCAGUGCCGCAGUUAACACAAUAAGUAAUC